rnacentral:rRNA from 1 species
UACGAAGGGGGCUAGCGUUGUUCGGAUUAACUGGGCGUAAAGGGUGCGUAGGCGGGUUUUUAAGUCAGGGGUGAAAUCCCGAGGCUCAACCUCGGAACUGCCUUUGAUUACUGGAAAUCUUGAGUCUGGGAGAGGUGAGUGGAACUGCGAGUGUAGAGGUGAAAUUCGUAGAUAUUCGCAAGAACACCGGUGGCGAAGGCGGCUCACUGGCCCGGAACUGACGCUGAGGCACGAAAGCGUGGGGAGCAAACAGG